rnacentral:rRNA from 1 species
CCUACGGGUGGCAGCAGUGGGGAAUAUUGGACAAUGGGGGGAACCCUGAUCCAGCGACGCCGCGUGAGUGAAGAAUUCUUUCGGUAUGUAAAGCUCUAUCAGCAGGGAAGAAAAUGACGGUACCUGACUAAGAAGCCCCGGCUAACUCCGUGCCAGCAGCCGCGGUAAUCCGUAGGGGGCAAGCGUUAACCGGAUGUACUGGGUGUAAAGGGAGCGUAGACGGUGUAUCAAGUCAGAUGUGAAAGGUCCGGGCGUAACCCCGGGACCGCCUUUGAAACUGGUGAACUAGAGUACAGGAGAGGUAAGCGGAAUUCCUAGUGUAGCGGUGAAAUGCGUAGAUAUUAGGAGGAACACCAGUGGCGAAGGCGGCUUACUGGAAUGUAACUGACGUUGAGGCGCGAAAGCGUGGGGAGCAAACAGGAUUAGAUACCCCUGUAGUC